UACGAAGGGGGCUAGCGUUACUCGGAUUGACUGGGCGUAAAGGGCGCGUAGGCGGCUUGUACAGUCAGACGUGAAAUUCCUGGGCUCAACCUGGGGGCUGCGUUUGAUACGUGCGGGCUUGAGUUCGGAAGAGGGUCGUGGAAUUCCCAGUGUAGAGGUGAAAUUCGUAGAUAUCAGGAGGAACACCCGUGGCGGAAGGCGGUUCUCUGGGACGGUACUGACGCUGGAGACGCGAAAGCGUGGGGAGCGAACAGG
rnacentral:rRNA from 1 species